rnacentral:rRNA from 1 species
AUACAGAGGGUGCAAGCGUUAAUCGGAAUUACUGGGCGUAAAGCGUACGUAGGCGGUUUGGUAAGUCAGAUGAGAAAGCCCUGAGCUCAACUUGGGAACUGCAUUUGAAACUGCCUGACUAGAGUGUGAUAGAGGAUAGUGGAAUUUCCGGUGUAGCGGUGAAAUGCGUAGAGAUCGGAAGGAACACCAGUGGCGAAGGCGGCUAUCUGGAUCAACACUGACGCUGAGGUACGAAAGCGUGGGGAGCAAACAGGAUUAGAUACCCGGGUAGUCC